ACAAUAACUCUGCCGACAUAUUCCUUUCCUCCGUAACUUCUCUCAAAUUAGAAAAGCAAUCGACGAUCCUCGUUGUUUCCGAUUCGAAGAUAGAACAAAAUAAUCAGAAGGAGUAAUCUCAUGUCUUGUUCAUCUAUGUGUGUUAUAAAAGAAUAAAAGCUCACAGAGUAAAAGCUCUUUCUCAAGUCUACGGAACAGAGCACGGAGAUCUCAGAUCUGUUCAGAUCUUGUUAAGAACUUGGAUCGAAGAGGAAGUCAAAGAUCUUAUAAAAGCAUGAAGAAAGGAUGCGACAUGAUCCAUCAUCACCGAUCUACGAAGAUAAUGUUGCAUGUGUGAUCCGAUGAUAAAUCUGUUUAUUCCGAUGAGAAUCUGAUGUUUUUGUUUAUGUCCGAAGACGAUCUGAUAAAAUAAAGUAUCUCUUCAUACAUACCAAGCUCGGAAAGCACUGAUCCAGAUAAGUCUCGGACUAUAGGUUUAUUUGGUUGAUUUAGAAUUGACUUACGGUAUAUGUUUUAGAUUUUAGUUAGUUAACUUAAUCAAAUAUACAAUUGAUGUACAUGUGGUGCAGUAUGUUGUACAGAAGAGGAGAUUGAGAAGGACAUUACACAAAGUUAGGAAAGCCUAACAGUACACAGAUAAGUCUCUGCCUAUAGCUUUAUUAUUUGGGUUAUACAUGAGAAACGGUAUACGUUUUAUACUUAGUGAGUUGACUUAAUAUAUACAAUUCAUGUGCAGGUUGGGCAGUCAAAGGUAUAGAGGCAGAAGUUUUAUUCAUUUGAAGGACAUGGGACAGAGACAUGACAGCAAAGAAAUACAAACUAAAAUAUGGUUUGUUGUGCGAUAUGCUCCUCCCGCAGGCCUGACUUGGAAGUUUCUGAUGUUGUGCCAUACUCCAACCAGAAGAAGUCUUCCUUUACUCUCAAAGUAAGUCUUUUUGCAGCUUGCAUGAAUUUUAUGCCCCUUGUACAUGUUACAAUUAAAUAAAUUAGAAAUAUUAACAUCAAUUAAUAUCAAUGCUCAAAUUACACAAUUUUUUUAUAAAAAACUCUAUUCUAUUGAAAAGGUUUGGAUUGCUUACAUUCUCAUCAGCCAAUACGAAUUCCAUGG